GCCCCAAGUAACUUCGGACUUCUUGUUAUCAAAGCUUGUCGUGGAUGGGUUAAAUCCACAUAAGGCUCUUUUUUAUGCCUUGAGGCCAAGGACUUUUAAAUGAUCAAAUCUUACAUGCCCGAGGGCUUCGAACUUAGAUCUAGUUUGAACUGUGAAGACAUAUUCAAAUCGGAUUCAAGCACUGAGAGAGUCUUUUAAUAGCCAUCUUACUAUAAAUAACUUGAAUACAACUUGAAGUAUACAACAUAUUGCUAGGUUAAUAAAUGAAAAGACAGAAACAGAGAGGGUCGGGCAAGGUUUAACCUUGUCGGGCAAGGCUGAUCGUCUUGCAACUUCCUAUCUUUGUGGUUUAUCAAGGGGGUUGAGAGCUUUAGAAAAGGGGUAGGGAGAUGAGUUUACAGAAAGAAAUCGAUACUAUAGCAAGAGUUGAACAGGGUAGCAGAGCUAUUAUAAAGGCUUGAGUGAAAGUUUAUCCCGAAAGGGAUGAAGGCUUAGGCUGACUACAGCUUCGUUUAAAAGCAAAUCUGGCUUUGAGCAGAGUUUGUGCUUGUAUUUGUUUGUUUGUUUGAGUGUCUAAGUGUUUGAGUUUGCUUGUUUGUUUGAGUGUCCUCAACUCUGACUUCUCUUUCUUCUUUUAUAGACACUUUGGCUUGGCUUCCUGUACCAGCGAUCUUGCCCGAAUGCAGUUUGAAGGAUAGUGACUCAUCAGCUAUUUACUUGUACUGCCACUGUAAAGUACUUUUGGGCUGAUUAGCUGGCUGGUCUAUACCACUUGGUCUUUGGGUAGGUGAGCAAGUUGUGCCAAUGGUCUGCACCUAGUCGAGAAAGGCUUCUUCUGUCUUCUGGGUUUUGGGCUUGACUUCGGGCUUCUCUCUUCUUUUUGGGCCAACUCCCUUUUGAGCCCAAAGUUUAAGUUUUAAUCCAAACACCUUCAAUGGAAAAGGAUUCCAGAUUCUCAAAACCACUGAUUAUAAGAACUGAAAGUUUGGGAAAAAGGCCCAACGGGAAGGACCUUAUUGAAUGAAAACUCUUGUGUAUGUACAAAUACACAAGUGAUGUCAAUUCGGCCAUCAUCUCAUAAGAUAGGAACUCUAAUGACAACAGUGUUGGGCAAUUUCUGAGAGUCAAAUUUCGAAGAUAUUGCAUUUUGGGCAAGCACUGUAUUGCAACAAAAUUAGAAAUUCAAAGUGUGGACAAGUUCUUCUUUUUUACUCUCUCUAUUAACAGUAACAGACCUGGGCAUCCAUCAAUAUGUAUUUCCAAAGAAUUUUGUAAGUAGUCCAUGUUAAGACUACUGCUUGUGGCCUAUUCUUCAUGCAGACGUAGAAAUUCACACCUAGACACCCCAAGUGUUUUCAAGCAAGGAAGACGAUUAGGCAAGUUUCCUCUCAGCUUCAGACAAUUCUUUAAACUUAAGUACUGGAGACUAGGAAAGUUUGAACAUUGACCUCCACUUGGACUUGAUAGCCAAUCCUCCCACUCUGGCAUAUUCUCAAACAUUAGUGUCUUCAGAGACUGAAUGGGUUGAAUUUCAGAAGCUGUAUUAAGAUCACCAUAGAAUUCAACACCAACCGUCUUAACAAAUUUCAUCCUUUUGAUACAUAGCACUUUGAGAGUGGGUAGUUGCCCAAAACUUGGCAAGGACAAACAAUACUUACAAUCACUGAUACACAUGAACUGUAUGUUAGAAAGGGAAUUAGAGCUUCCUAACCAAUUUGGGAAGCUAGUUCCUCCAUAUAAUCUGAUAGUCAGUUUCUCCAAAUUUACACAAGGUUGGAGCUUGUCAAGCACAUCUCUCUCCUUUUGGGAAUCAUCGGCGUCCUCAUCACCCCAUGCCAACUCUAAGUCCUUGAGUUCUUUCUUAUCCUUCAAAUUGGCUUCCAAUGCAUCCACAACAUCAACUACAUUUUGCAGAUUUGAAAUACAAAGUCUUCCUUGAAGAUGCUGCAACUCCCUUAAUUCUCCAACGCUAGACCCGAUAGAUUUCCCCACAACGAAAGCAGUUAAGGUUCUCAAACUCUUUAGUCUUCCAAUUUCCACUGACAUCCCUUCUAUCUUAGUUCUGUUGAUACUGAGGUAAUGCAAACUACUCAAUUCCCUUAUAUCUACAGGUAAUUUAGUAAGGGAGUAGCAACCUGCCAAUGCUAAUUUCCUUAAGUUUAUCAAUUGUCUUAUAUCUGUUGGCAGUUCAAUGAGAGCAGAACAACCUGACAACAGUAACGUCUGCAAAUUGUAGAGAGUGCAAAGUACACCAGGUAAGCUUUCAAUUGCCGUAUGGGAAAGAUCCAGUUAACGCAGGUGAAUGAGAUUACCCACAGAAUCAGGUAAUUCAUUGACAUUUUUAUAACAUGACAAUGAUAAAACCCGUAAACAUUUCAUGGUUGGCAACAAAUCUUGUAGAAACUUUUUACUUAUGUAGAACCGUUGAUAUGAGCGAUAUGCUUCAAAAGAGAGAGGUAGGAACGUCCGCAGAGACUUAGCGACAUCAAUUGCUCCGUUAU
rnacentral:lncRNA from 1 species